GAUGAACGCUGGCGGCGUGCCUAAUACAUGCAAGUCGAGCGAACAGACGAGGAGCUUGCUCCUCUGACGUUAGCGGCGGACGGGUGAGUAACACGUGGAUAACCUACCUAUAAGACUGGGAUAACUUCGGGAAACCGGAGCUAAUACCGGAUAAUAUAUUGAACCGCAUGGUUCAAUAGUGAAAGACGGUUUUGCUGUCACUUAUAGAUGGAUCCGCGCCGCAUUAGCUAGUUGGUAAGGUAACGGCUUACCAAGGCAACGAUGCGUAGCCGACCUGAGAGGGUGAUCGGCCACACUGGAGCUGAGACACGGUCCAGACUCCUACGGGCGGCAGCAGUAGGGAAUCUUCCGCAAUGGGCGAAAGCCUGACGGAGCAACGCCGCGUGAGUGAUGAAGGUCUUCGGAUCGUAAAACUCUGUUAUUAGGGAAGAACAAAUGUGUAAGUAACUAUGCACGUCUUGACGGUACCUAAUCAGAAAGCCACGGCUAACUACGU
rnacentral:rRNA from 1 species